rnacentral:tRNA from 1 species
AUCAGAGUGGCGCAGCGGUAGAGUGGUCAGCCCAUAACCCAAAGGUCCCAAGAUCGAAACCUGGCUCU